rnacentral:rRNA from 1 species
AUACGGAGGGUGCAAGCGUUGUUCGGAAUUACUGGGCGUAAAGCGCGCGUAGGCGGUCUGUUAUGUCAGAUGUGAAAGUCCAUGGCUCAACCAUGGAAGUGCAUUUGAAACUGGCAGACUUGAGUACUGGAGGGGGUAGUGGAAUUCCCGGUGUAGAGGUGAAAUUCGUAGAUAUCGGGAGGAAUACCGGUGGCGAAGGCGACUACCUGGCCAGAUACUGACACUGAGGUGCGAAAGCGUGGGGAGCGAACAGGAUUAGAAACCCGAGUAGUCC